GUAUAGCUCAGUGGGAGAGCGCAUGCUUAGCAUGCACGAGAUCCUGGGUUCAAUCCCUAGUAC
rnacentral:tRNA from 1 species